rnacentral:tRNA from 2 species
CGGGAUGUGGCGCAGUCCGGUAGCGCAACGGUCUGGGGGACCGGAGGUCGCAAGUUCAAAUCUUGUCAUCCCGA